rnacentral:rRNA from 1 species
UGCCUUAGUAACGGCGAGUGAAGCGGCAAUAGCUCAAAUUUGAAAGCUGGCCCCUUCGGGGUCCGCGUUGUAAUUUGUAGAGGAUGAUUCGGCGAGGGCUCCCGUCUAAGUCCCUUGGAACAGGGCGUCAUAGAGGGUGAGAAUCCCGUAUGUGAUGGGCUGCCUUAGCCAUGUGAAUCUCCUUCGACGAGUCGAGUUGUUUGGGAAUGCAGCUCUAAAUGGGAGGUAAAUUUCUUCUAAAGCUAAAUACCGGCCAGAGACCGAUAGCGCACAAGUAGAGUGAUCGAAAGAUGAAAAGCACUUUGGAAAGAGAGUUAAAAAGUACGUGAAAUUGUUGAAAGGGAAGCGCUUGCAGCCAGACUUGUCCGCAGUUGCUCAGCUUGUCUCCUGACAGGCGUACUCUUCUGCGGCCAGGCCAGCAUCAGUUCGGGCGGUCGGAUAAAGACCUGGGGAAUGUAGCUCCUCUCGGGGAGUGUUAUAGCCCUGGGUGCAAUGCGGCCAGCCUGGACUGAGGAUCUCGCUUCGGCUAGGAUGCUGGCGUAAUGGCUGUAAGCGGCCCGUCUUGAAACACGGACCAAGGAGUCUAACAUCUAUGCGAGUGUUUGGGUGUCAAACCCAUGCGCGUAAUGAAAGUGAACGGAGGUGGGAACCCUCACGGGUGCACCAUCGACCGAUCCUGAUGUCUUCGGAUGGAUUUGAGUAAGAGCAUAGCUGUUGGGACCCGAAAGAUGGUGAACUAUGCCUGAAUAGGGUGAAGCCAGAGGAAACUCUGGUGGAGGCUCGCAGCGGUUCUGACGUGCAAAUCUAUAGUCAAAUUUGGGUAUAGGGGCGAAAGACUAAUCGAACCAUCUAG